rnacentral:rRNA from 1 species
UAAUUGAAGAGUUUGAUCAUGGCUCAGAUUGAACGCUGGCGGCAGGCCUAACACAUGCAAGUCGAGCGGUAACAGGGGAAGCUUGCUUCUCGCUGACGAGCGGCGGACGGGUGAGUAAUGUAUGGGGAUCUGCCCGAUAGAGGGGGAUAACUACUGGAAACGGUAGCUAAUACCGCAUAAUCUCUCAGGAGCAAAGCAGGGGAACUUCGGUCCUUGCGCUAUCGGAUGAACCCAUAUGGGAUUAGCUAGUAGGUGAGGUAAUGGCUCACCUAGGCGACGAUCCCUAGCUGGUCUGAGAGGAUGAUCAGCCACACUGGGACUGAGACACGGCCCAGACUCCUACGGGAGGCAGCAGUGGGGAAUAUUGCACAAUGGGCGCAAGCCUGAUGCAGCCAUGC